CCGCCAAUAGGCGGCCAAAGUCCGCUUUCACACUGGCCGCGUUGCCCAGCCUGAAAGCAGGGCGCCGGGCAUGGGUGUUGACGCUCCGGCCCCGCGCAGCAGAAAACCGUGAACCGUGUCAGGGUCGGAAGGCAGCAGCACUAAGCGGUAUUUUCUGGGUGCCGCGGGCAAACCGGGGUCGAGCCUGUUGUCCGCCGUCCUGUUUUCCGGCAGGGGCGCGG
rnacentral:SRP_RNA from 1 species